rnacentral:lncRNA from 1 species
GAUCUCAUUCUGUCACCCAGGCUGGAGUACAGUGGUGCGAUCUCAGCUUACUGCAACCUCUGCCUCGUGGGUUCAAGUGAUUCUUCUGCCUCAGCCUCCUGAGUAGCUUGGAUUACAGGCACGUGCCACCACACCCAGCUGAUUUUUGUAUUUUUAGUAGAGACAGGGUUUCACCAUGUUGGCCAGGCUGGUCUUGAACUCCUGACCUCAAAUGAUCAGCCCGCCCCAGCCUCCCAAAGUGCUGGGAUGGGAUUACAGACGUGAGCCACCAGGCCCAGCCUAAAAUCCACAAUUAUUAAUAUGAAAUAAAUUCUCAGGCGCCCCCUUGCCUGUGGUGCACACAAUUCCUUGAAGCUGGGGUCUGUGCUGCUGCUCAUGCUUGUGGGAGCAGGGGUUUUGAGCAGACUCCUAGAAACAAAAUAUCACCUGCUGUGUUGGGUUUUGCUGGAGGCUGCAUACUCCCCUUCCAAAUGGAAUUGGGCAUCCCUCUCAUAUGAUGAAGUUAUUUCUUCCUCUGUCCCCCAUACAUGAGUGUCUUGUGCUGCUAUUAUCCCCUGCAGGAAUGAUACUAAAAUAUUAUCAACCAAAAAGGCAAAUGCAUUGGCCAAUCAGAAUGGACAUAGUGCUUGCUGGAGAAGCAUCCUGGGGUCUCUCUUCUACGCCAGUUAUUAUCCAUUUAGUAGGGAGAUCUGGGGGCUCCAGAGCAGGAACUAGGUGACAAGGUAUUUCUUAGGGGCUCAGGGGCUCCUAGGGGGCUCAGAUUUGUACAAGUUGAAUAAUUUUGUGGUUUUGUUUUUUGUUUUUUGUUUUGAGAUAGGGUCUCACUUUGUUGCCCAGGCUGGAGUGCAGUGGUGUGAACAUGGUUCACUGCAGCCUUGACCUCGUGGGCUCAAGCAAUCCUCCUGCCUUGACCUCUUGAGUAGCUGGGACUAUAGAUACUAUGUGAGGUGCUGAGGAUCCAGGUGUAAAAGUUCCUAUCUAGUGGGGCAUGCAGGUGGACAGUCCUGAAAUGCAGCGUAAAUGCUUCUUGGAGGCCCCAGGGGUCCAGCAUCACUGUCCUGUGGCAGUGACCAAUAUGAUACACAUCCAUUACUGGCUUUCCAUUUUUCCAUUUUCCUUUAUCCCACCCUCCCUGAUCCCUCUCUCCUGUUCUUGGGAUCACUUCCCAGAUAAAUGACCCAUGCAAAAACCUUUGUCCCAGGCCUUCCUUUGAGGGAAUCAAGGAUAAAAUAUCCUUUAGGCCCCUCUAUCUCAAUAUGUCUAAAGCAGGACUCUUCAUCUUGCCCUCAAUCCAACUCUUCUUCUUCUACUCUUACCCCAAUCAGUCAUCAAAGCUAAAAACUGGAGACUCACCUUUUCCCUCUUUUUCAUCUUGAUUUCAAGUCAAUCCUGAAUCUGCCCCUCUACUCCUUUCCUCAGACCACCUCACCUAAGCUGCGGCCUCCUCUCAGUUCUCUCUGCCUCUCCUCCAAUCCUCUCAAAUCCAUCCUACACCCAACCGCCAGCGUGAAAUAUCUCAAGCGCAAAUUUUUGCCACGGUGUCCUUUACUUAAGCCCCAUCAAAGGUUCUGCUGGUAGGAUAAAACCCAAGCACCUUGUUAUGACAUGGGGCCUCCUGGAACCUGCCCUUUGCCCACCUCUUCAGCAUCAUGGCUGAACUGCUUAUGCUUUCCAGCACCGUUCCCAUUGUGCACUCAACAGAGAGGAAGAAAAUGCUCAUUUUGAAGAGAACUUUUAUGUUGUCUGCUGUGGAGCAUCCCAACAGCAUAGCUUCUAUGAAGACAGUGUUGGAAGAGCUAUUCUCUAGACUUUUGCAUCUACAGGGUCUUUCUGGACUCAUAGCUUCACAAUACACAGAUCACAGGACAGUCAGGAUGAGGGCUGGAAAAACUACUGGAGGUAGAGUCAGCACACCUGUGUUCCAGGCCUGCUGUGACACUUGCUAGCUGUGGGACCCUGGGUAAAUUUCCUGGUUUCUGUAUUCACAAAGUGGGAAAAUGCCAUCUAAUUGCCACAGGGUGUGUGAUGAGCACAUAAAAGUAAUAAUGAUAUUGAUGAUGAUCAUGAUGGCUAACAUUUAUUGAGCACUUACCAGCAAGGCAAUGGCAAUAAAGAAGGUACCCGGUAAGCAGUUCAUGGCUCUGCUGCUAACUUAGUAAUGUUUUCUCAGUAAGUCAUUUCCUGUGUCUUGACUUCAGUCUCACCCUGCAAGCAGUGGAGUUGAACUAGUUCAGGGCUUUUGACUGGGAGGUCACUAAUAUCCUUGAUAAGAUAAAGUUCUCAGUUUAUGAGCUAGCACACUGAGCUAUUGCCUGUCCUAAAGUGGGCUGAGCAUCCAUCAGUUUUUAGCUCUGACAUGCUCAUUGGGAUGCACACAGUGUGUUGAAGGUAACCUCACCAGCCUCCUUCCCCUGUGUAUUGGGGAGAAAAGAAAUGACUGUGUCCUGAGCAAGAAAGUUAGAGAUGCUGAAUCUCUUGCACUUUUUUUUUUUUUUUGCCCAGCACACAGUAACAAUGAGGGUAAUUCUGCCAAAAAACAACUUUUCUUGGCAUGCAUUGUGCUGUUCACAUCCAUGGAAUUUAUUGUCAUAUCACUGCCAAGUUGGACAAAUUAUUAUCAGAGCCAAGUCAAAUCCAAGGACAGCUUAAGGCCUGCCAUCUCUUUGCAUGAUGUCCAAGCUUCUCUUGUGGCCUCCUCACCCCCUGUGGCUUCUGCACACCUUCCUGAGGGCCUGGUAACAAGGAAGACGGAUGCUGGUACUCUGAUCCUUCACCACUCAGCUCUAAAAUGAUGCCUUUGCUAUAACUGGAGGGUUUUGUUUCAUUUGUUCAUUUGUUUCCUCCCAUCCUUCAAUACGUUAUUAUUUCCCUGUUUGAAGUGAAAAUGUGAUGGAGUAAAUAUAUUGACUCUUUUCUCUGUUCUGUUACUACCAAAGUCACACUCCCCA